rnacentral:rRNA from 1 species
GACAGCAGCAGCCACGGGAAUACAGAGGGUGCGAGCGUUAAUCGGAUUUACUGGGCGUAAAGCGUGCGUAGGCGGCUUUUUAAGUCGGAUGUGAAAUCCCUGAGCUUAACUUAGGAAUUGCAUUCGAUACUGGGAAGCUAGAGUAUGGGAGAGGAUGGUAGAAUUCCAGGUGUAGCGGUGAAAUGCGUAGAGAUCUGGAGGAAUACCGAUGGCGAAGGCAGCCAUCUGGCCUAAUACUGACGCUGAGGUACGAAAGCAUGGGGAGCAAACAGGAUUAGAUACCCGUGUAGUCCCUGUCUCUUAUAC